rnacentral:rRNA from 1 species
CUUUCAUAAAGUGAAUAAGCAGGCCAGUCGAACGACUCGGACUAUGGCGAGAAGUGGCGAACUGCUCAGUAACACGUAGCUAACCUACCCUUAGGACGGAGACAACCUCGGGAAACUGAGGUUAAUACCCGAUAGGUGUGGAUUCCUGGAAUGGUGUCACGCCGAAACGUUAACGCACCAUGUUUGUGUACACGCCUAAGGAUGGGGCUGCGGCCGAUCAGGCUGUUGGUGAGGUAACGGCUCACCAAACCUUUGACCGGUACGGGCCGUGAGAGCGGUAGCCCGGAGAUGGACACUGAGACAAGGGUCCAGGACCUACGGGUCGCAGCCGGUACGAAACCUCCACAAUGCACGAAAGUGCGAUGGGGUUACCUCGAGUGCCGUCUGAAGAAGGCGGCUUUUCCAUUGUGUAAUGAGCCGUGGGAAUAAGGGGGGGGCAAGACUGGUGUCAGCCGCCGCGGUAACACCAGCCCCCCGAGUGGUGGGGAUGUUUAUUUGGCCUAAAGCGUCCGUAGCCAGCUUGGUAAAUCUCUCGUUAAAUCCAGCGUCCUAAGCGUUGGGCUGCGAGAGAGACUGUCAAGCUAGAGGGUGGGAGAGGUCAGCGGUAUUUCUGGGGUAGGGGCGAAAUCCAUUGAUCCCAGGAGGACCACCAGUGGCGAAGGCUGCUGACUAGAACACGCCUGACGGUGAGGGACGAAAGCUGGGGUAGCGAAUCGGAUUAGAUACCCGAGUGGUCCCAGCCGUAAACGAUGCAGGCUAGGUGUUGGGUUGGCCACGUGCCGACUCAGUGCCACAGGGAAAGCCAUUAAGCCUGCCGCCUGGGGGAGUACGGUCGCAAGGCUGAAACUUAAAGGAAUUGGCGGGAGAGCACCACCAGGCGUGAAGCCUGCGGGUUUAAUUGGAGUCAACGCCGGG